AUGACUGGCAUUGCUGGAGUCAGAUCCUUGAGCCGGGCUUCAGCUAUGAGCCCUGACUGGCUGUCCCAUCGUGCUCCUGUAUCAAAAACAGACACACAGUUCCAAAUGGCACUCAAAAUGGAAACUUGAAUCAUUCGUACAUUGCAAUGCUGCACUUAAUAGUUGCUUAGUAGUAGAUACCUUUCCUGAGGAUAGAGCAGAUGUGGCAAAACUGUAGGUAAUUUGUGAGCCAUAGUGAAGUUGCACACAGCUCUAUCUUGAGCUUAGCUAUUAGCAUGCCACCCAGAACAUUGCCUUCAUGAUUAAAUGACUGGUCUAUUCUUAUGGAAACAUGUGAUACAACAUACUUCUACAACUAGAAGAGGGCUGGAUUCUCUUCUCACACUAAUCUAAAUGGAGUAACUCAGGGUACAACCAUAAAAAAAAAACCCAGCUGUGAUUCCCAGGUCAUGGGCCCAGGCUGCAGGGCUUAACACAGCAGUGUAGCCACCUGGGCUGAAGCCUGGGCUCUCAAACUUUCCCUUCUCUCCAGGCUUCAGAACCCCAGCUCCAGCCUGAGCCCAAAUGGCUACAAGCCAGCUGACCCUGGCUCUUCUGUUGCGGUGCAGACAAGGCAUGGACUUGCAUGGGAGUUAUUGAAGACAAACCUAGUGAGAGGCUGACAGAAGAAAAAGUUGUGGUCUUACAAAGAGAUUACAGCAAGCCAACUCACUCCAGUGGGCUGUAAAGUCUCAGCGGAGAAAAGGCCCAGACUUUAACAUGAUGAUUUGGAGACUGAAGACUUAUGAUGGAGGGGAAAAAACUAUUUCCAGAUGUCUGAUUGUGCAAACUGUUACUCAUGCCAUUAAUCCCACUGAGUCAUAGGGACUACUUGCAUGAGUAAGAAGUACUCCAUCUAGGAUUGGAGCACAUGGGUAGUAGCUCCCAUAGGUAGUAAAGGCCCUGGAUGUACUAAACAAGGUUGCCAAUACAUUUUUCAAAGGGCGGUGUCAAGAAUAACAAACAUGAUAUCAUACACUUCUA